ACCUGCCACCAGUUAGAAAGAUCACAGUGUCACAGCGCCCAGGUCCUCCGCUCCGGUCCUCGCAAGGGGGUACGCUCCCUUCCUCCCCACCUGUCCGGCUGGGUUUCCCGGAGUGAUGCCCUAGCGGUGGGAGUGAGAACACGCCGCGCGGGAGCCUCCUUUCGGUUCGGCUCCCCCAGCUGGACCCCGAAGCCCCGGGGGAAGGAAACUACCAUUCAGGGCUCUCCCAUCCCCGCCCCGUUCCUCUCUCCGGCUCGCUGCCCGUCUCGCUUUGAUGCCGCCGAGCCCCAUCGCUACUUCGGGGCGGCCGUCAGGCGGAGGCGGCUGCGAGCUCCCGGGCUCCAGGGACGGAGAUGGGGCAGGGUGAGUGAGCCGGCCCGGCGAGAGGCUCCGCACCGCCCGGCACCCGCCCACGGGCAGAGGAGGCGCUGUCUGGCCCGGCCCGCGCGGGGCAGAGCCUGGGAGAGGCUUGCCGCUCUCCCCUUCCUCCCAGUCCCGGCUGGGAGCCGAACGCGAGCGCGCCGGGGGAGGGAGGAGUGGGAGAGGAAGCCUCGGGAGAGAACAGGGAGCCACUGUGUCCUUUUGAAAAGAAAGUAGGAACGCUGGGUGGGAAAAAACAAAGGCGCCCUCCCAACUUUUCUUCGCGAAAAGUUUUCCCAGGGCGUUUUGUUUGUGCGAACUCGGCCGGCGGAGCCCGGGAUCGCGCUGCCGGCGUGGCGGCUGUGCCUGUGCGCCUCGCCCCGCUCCUCCUCCUUCCAGCCUGGGCAGCUCCGCUCCCUCCCCG
rnacentral:lncRNA from 1 species